GCGCCGGUAGUGUAGUGGUUAACAUUCUUCCCUUCCAAGGAAGCGGCCCGGGUUCGAACCCCGGCCGGCGCA
rfam:Allomyces macrogynus ATCC 38327 genomic scaffold supercont3.25, whole genome shotgun sequence.